rnacentral:misc_RNA from 1 species
GAUGAAAACGUAGCGAAAUGCGAAAAGUAAUGUGAAUUGCAGAAUUCAGUGAACCAUCGAAUCUUUGAACGCACAUUGCGCCCGCUGGAACUCCGGCGGGCACGCCUGUCCGAGCGUCAUUUCAACCCUCAGGCCCCCCUUCGCGGGCGGGCCUGGUGUUGGGGCCCGGCCGCUACCCUGCGGCCGUCCCCUAAAUCCAGUGGCGGCCUCGCCGUGAUCCCUUGCGUAGUAAUGCACCUCGCACCGGAGAGCGCCGUGGCCACGCCGUAAAACCCCCAAUUUUCAAUGGUUGACCUCGGAUCAGGUGGGAAUACCCGCUGAACUUAAGCAUAUCAAUAAGCGGAGGA